GACGAACGCUGGCGGCGUGCCUAAUACAUGCAAGUCGAACGCAGUGGGGACGGUGGAGUAACACGUGGGUAACCUCCCAUCAGAGGGGAUAACACUUGGAAACAGGUGCUAAACCGAUACUGAUGGAUGGACCCGGGGGGCAUUAGCUAGUUGGUGGGGUAACGGCUCACCAAGGCCACGAUGCCUAGCCGACCUGAGAGGGUGAUCAGCCACACUGGGACUGAGACACGGCCCAGACUCCUACGGGAGGCAGCAGUGGGGAAUAUUCGGCAAUGGACGAAAGUCUGACCGAGCAACGCCGCGUGAGUGAAGAAGGUUUUCGGGUCGUAAAGCACUGUUGGUGGGGAAGCGGUACCUAACCAGAAAGCCACGGCUAACUACGUGCCAGCAGCCGCGGUAAUUC
rnacentral:rRNA from 1 species